AUUGAACGCUGGCGGCAGACUUAACACAUGCAAGUCGAGCGGAGAUGAGGUGCUUGCACCUUAUCUUAGCGGCGGACGGGUGAGUAAUGCUUAGGAAUCUGCCUAUUAGUGGGGGACAACAUUCCGAAAGGAAUGCUAAUACCGCAUACGUCCUACGGGAGAAAGCAGGGGAUCUUCGGACCUUGCGCUAAUAGAUGAGCCUAAGUCGGAUUAGCUAGUUGGUGGGGUAAAGGCCUACCAAGGCGACGAUCUGUAGCGGGUCUGAGAGGAUGAGCCGCCACACUGGGACUGAGACACGGCCCAGACUCCUACGGGAGGCAGCAGUGGGGAAUAUUGGACAAUGGGGGGAACCCUGAUCCAGCCAUGCCGCGUGUGUGAAGAAGGCCUUAUGGUUGUAAAGCACUUUAAGCGAGGAGGAGGCUCUUUUGGUUAAUACCCAAGAUGAGUGGACGUUACUCGCAGAAUAAGCACCGGCUAACUCUGUGCCAGCCGCCGCCGUAA
rnacentral:rRNA from 1 species